GGCAGAGUCUCGCUGUGUCACCCAGGUUGGAGUGCAGUGGCGCGAUCUCAGCUCACUGCAAGCUCCGCCUCCCGGGUUCACGCCAUUCUCCUGCCUCAGCCUCUCCGAGUAGCUGGGACUACAGGCGCCCGCCACCACGCCCGGCUAAUUUUUUUGUAUUUUUAGUAGAGACGAGGUUUCACCGUGGUCUCGAUCUCCUGACCUCGUGAUCCACCCGCCUCGGCCUCCGAAAGUGCUGGGAUUACAAGCGUGAGCCACCGCGCCCGGCGCCAGCACCGCUUAUUGAAGAGACUGUCUUCAGUGUAUGUUCUUGGCACCUUUGUUGAAAAUGAAUUCACUCUAGGUACAUGGACUUCUUUCUGUGUUCUCUAUUCUGUUCCAUUGGUCUUUGUCUGUUUUUAUGCCAGUACCAUGUUCUUUUGGUUACUAUACCUCCAUAGUAUAAUUUGAAGUCAGGUAAUGUGAUUCCUCCAGUUUUGUUCUUUUUGCUUAGGAUAGCUUUGGCUAUGUUGGAUCUUUUGUGGUUCCAUAUAAAUUUUAGGAUUUUUUUUCUAUUUCUGUGAAGAAUGUCAUUGGUAUUUUAAUAAAGACAAAAUUGAUGAACCUUGGGAACAAACAUGCCAAGUGAAAUAAGCCAGUCACUGAAAGACAAAUAUUGUAUGAUUCCACAUAUAUAUGGAUACAUCAGAACAUAUAUAUGAAUUUAUGAGGUACUUAGAGUAGUCAAAUUCAUAGAUAAAGUAGAAUGGUGGUUGCCAGGGGUAGGGGGAAAUGGGGAGUUAUUUAAUUAGGUAUAGUUUUGCAAGAUGAAAAUGUUCAGCAACAAUGUGGAUGUGGUUGUACAACAUGUGAAAGUACUUAACACUACUGAUAUGGUACUCUUAAAAAUGGUUAAGACUUUUGGGCUUGGUGGCUCACACUUGUAAUCCUAGUACUUUGGAAGGCCAAGGUGGGUGAAUCACUUGAGGCCAAGAGUUCAAGACCAGCCUGGGCAACAUGGUGAAAUCUUGUCUCUACUGAAAAUACAAAACUUGGCUGGGUAUGGUGGCAUGCGCCUGUAGUCCCAGCUACUCAGGAGGCUGAGGUACGAGGAUUACUUGAACAUGGGAGGCAGAGGUUGUAGUGAGCCGAGAUCACGCUACUGUGCUCUAGCCUGGAUGACAGAGGGAGAAUCUGUCCCCCAAAAAAAAAAAAGACCAGGCAUGAUGGCUUAUGCCUAUAAUCCCAGCACUUUGGGAGGCUGAGGCAGGAGAAUUGCUUGAGCCCAGGAGUUGAAGACCCGCCUGGCAACAGAGCAAGACUCCUGUCUCUACAAAUAAAAACUUUUUAAAAUUAACUGAGCAUGGUGACGGGCACCUGUAGUCCCAGCUAUUUGGGUGGCUGAAGUGGGAGAAUCGCUUGAGGCCUGGAGUCAGAGGCUGCAGUAAGCUGUCAUCCCACCACUGCAUGCCAGCCAGGGCAACAGAGUCUCAAAAAGGAAAAAAAAUGGUUAACAUGGUAAAUUUUAUGUUGUGUAUAUUUUACUGCAGUUAAAAAAAUAAAGAUCUCCUGGUGCUUUGGCUUUAGCUCAAAAAGGCUUUGGAUCUCUGUAAAAUUCAUGUUAGUAUGUAACUUGAUUCACAAUGAUGCAGAAUCAAUUAGACUUCUAUAUUUUUUACUUUAUCCCUUUUGAUCAUUGUGGCACCUCUUCGUCUGUUUUAUACAUUGCUGCAUGAGUUAUUUUCUUUCUUCUCUAUCAGUCUAUCCACAAGAUCUCUGAAGAGAUCAGGUGUCCAAGCUUUGGCCCAGCAAACACAUUCUAGAAACUUCUUGCCAAAGAAGCAGCCAUUCUCAGCUCAGAAACCCGGAAACAGCAGCUGAAAUGUUUUACAUGCUCCCUGAGGAAGCAGCGCCCAGCACAUGAAGCCCUGCGGGAGAGCACAGCAGCAGUGGAGGCUCUGGAGGAAGGCGUGGUGUCUAAGGCAAAGCACUCUGCCAGCUUACACAUUUAUUUGAAGGACACAGACAUAAAAUGGAUAUAUAUGUUUAUAUAACUUAAAGCAAUGGGAAGAAAUAGGUAACUAGGUGAGGCUCUGAAGAUUUUGAAAGAAGUGUGUUACUUGCUUGCUGCUCCUUUAAGGGAGAAAAAACAAAAAACAUACCCAUAAGCCUAGGAAUUCUUUCUGGGCCCCCUAAGGCAGGUUCUCAGCUGCAUUUAACUGUCUAAAGCUACUGAACCCAUGAGUUCUAGUGAGUUGUAAAAGCGCUAAUGAACUCCAUAGCUUGGAUUUACAAAAUAGAAUAUCUAGGGGUUAGAAUGAACCACCAGCUUUACUUUUCUGCUAAGAUUACCUUCUAAUGAGAUGAAAAUCAGCUUUCUUCAAUACCAGGAUCACCAUUCUUUGAGAACUUCCUUAUAAGGUCCCAGAUCAAACACUUGAUCUUAUUCAGGGAGUAACUGUUUUCUGUAGUAAAUACAAAGGUGUUUUUUUUUUCUAGGCAUCAAAGGCAAACCAGAUAGAACAUUAAGAUGAUGGGCAUUAAAAAGAUGAGGUAGGGGUCAAAAUGAGCCUAGAGGUUGCAUAUAUCUACAAGAAAGUUUUUUUUUUUUUUUCCUUCCUGCAUAGAUGGAGCAGCUCAUUGAAAAACACUUUUAUUUUUUCAAAGGUUCAGGGUCUUGCUCUGUCACCCAGGCUGAAGUGCAGAGGCAUCAUCGUAACUCAAGCUCACUGUAAUCUUGAACUCCUGGGCUCAAGGAAUCCUGGGACAAAGUAUCAAAGGCAAACCCUCAUAGUGUGAGAAACAUUAUGAAAACCAAAAGUUAAGGUGCCAAAACAUAAAAAGUCAGAUGAAGAUGAGUCAUUUAAUGGUUUCAUUCUUACUGGACCAUUCUGGCUGGAGACAAUAAGUAGAAGACUGUUUUGAGGCAAUUCUCAUAAAACGAAACCUAACUCACCUAUUCUCAGUAUUCGACCAGCAAAACACCUCACUUACCUGUGCACAUGAUCUAAUGCAACAGAGUCCCUAACAGGUUAUAUCUGGUGAGUAUGCAGACAUACAGAUCUUCUUUGUCUUAAAACAGGUUUUAGCUGUGGCACUGACAUUCUGGACCGAAUCCAUCUUUGUUGUGGGGGCUGUCCUGUACAUCAUAGGAUAUUUAGCAGCAUCCCUACUUUCCACUCCCCAGAUCCUGUACCACUCCUUCCUCAAGCUGUGAUAACCAAAACUGUCUUCUGACAUUGCUCUAAUGUCUCCAUGGGGAGCAAAAUCACUCCCUAUGGGAACCAGUGUCGUAAACCAUUUUAGAGGCAAACUAUAAACUAACUAACUCCCCUAACUGUGAUGGUGGAAAUAGUCUAUAAAACUUCCUAAUACAGCAGCUCAUCACUACAUGAUGCUACUAAGCACCUGAAAUGUGGCCAAGUAUGAGGAGAAUUCUUAAUUUAAUUUCAUUUUAAUUAAGUCCUACAUAUACUCUAAGGACAGGAUGCUUCAUCAUGGAAUGCUGUGUAGAUAUCCGAUACCUUUAUUAAAAAUCAUGUGGUUCAUCGGCAAUAAAAACUUACUUACUUACAGAGAGGGUUUCACCAUGUUGUCCAGGCUGGUCUCAAAUUAGCCACCCACCUCCAAAAGAAAGAGCUGGGAUUACAGGUGUGAGUCACUGCACCAGGCAUAAAUGUUUUAUUAGUCCUAUUUCUAUCCAUUUAAUUUUCAUUCUGACUGACUAGGUAUUUGUUAAAUUAAAAGGUGAACUGUGACGUUAAAGAUUACAAUGAGUGAUACAAAUUUAAAUUCUCUUUUAAAUCAAAAAGUUUUUUAAGUUGUUUUUUGCAUGAUAGGAAUCAUGACUGAAAAUAUAAGAAUGCAAAAAAAGGUGCUCUAACUGAAUUCUGGUAAAUAAUUCCUUCCUUGAGAGAAAAGAAAAACUAAACAAAUUUAAAGGAAAGGCCAACCAGGAUUGAAAGAAAACAUUUAUUGAAUCAAAAUCAAUACUUUCUUUUUAAUAUCUACAAGCCAACACAGAACUCAUUUUAUUCAAGAAUGAACACAAUGUACAAAAAAAGUAUGCUUAUAUUAUAAAAAUAUGUCAAUUUUAUCUUCUGGGUGCUUAGCAGAAGUCAUUUUAAACAAAAUCAAGGCAAACUUGUUCUCUAUAAUGAGUCUGCUAUAAUUUAACAACAAA